rnacentral:rRNA from 1 species
UCGAGGAUCUUCGGCAAUGGGCGCAAGCCUGACCGAGCGACGCCGCGUGUGGGAUGAAGGCCUUCGGGUUGUAAACCACUGUCAGUGAGGAGGAAGGCUCCGUGAAGAGCGGGGUUUGACCUAUUCGCAGAGGAAGUGUGGGCUAAGCUCGUGCCAGCAGCCGCGGUAAGACGAGCCACACAAACGUUAUUCGGAAUUACUGGGCUUAAAGGGUGCGUAGGCGGCGCGGUAAGUGGGGUGUGAAAGCCCUCGGCUCAACCGAGGAACUGCGCUCCAAACUACCGUGCUUGAGUGAGACAGAGGUAAGCGGAACUUCGGGUGGAACGGUGAAAUGUGUUGAUAUCCGAAGGAACACCGGUGGCGAAAGCGGCUUACUGGGUCUCAACUGACGCUGAUGCACGAAAGCCAGGGUAGCAAACGG